rnacentral:rRNA from 1 species
UACGUAGGGGGCCAGCGUUGUUCGGAAUUACUGGGUGUAAAGGGUGCGUAGGUGGGUCUGUAAGUCAGUGGUGAAAUCUCCGAGCUUAACUCGGAAACUGCCAUUGAUACUAUAGGUCUUGAAUUAUCUGGAGGUAAGCGGAAUAUGUCAUGUAGCGGUGAAAUGCUUAGAUAUGACAUAGAACACCAAUUGCGAAGGCAGCUUACUACGGAUUGAUUGACACUGAGGCACGAAAGCGUGGGGAUCAAACAGG